rnacentral:rRNA from 1 species
UAAGGCUAAAUACUCUCUAGUGACCGAUAGUGAACCAGUACCGUGAGGGAAAGGUGAAAAGCACCCCGGAAGGGGAGUGAAAUAGAACCUGAAACCGUGUGCUUACAAGUAGUCAGAGCCCGUUAAUGGGUGAUGGCGUGCCUUUUGUAGAAUGAACCGGCGAGUUACGAUUUGAUGCAAGGUUAAGCAGUAAAUGUGGAGCCGUAGCGAAAGCGAGUCUGAAUAGGGCGUUUAGUAUUUGGUCGUAGACCCGAAACCAGGUGAUCUACCCUUGGUCAGGUUGAAGUUCAGGUAACACUGAAUGGAGGACCGAACCGACUUACGUUGAAAAGUGAGCGGAUGAACUGAGGGUAGCGGAGAAAUUCCAAUCGAACCUGGAGAUAGCUGGUUCUCUCCGAAAUAGCUUUAGGGCUAGCCUCAAGUGAUGAUUAUUGGAG